rnacentral:tRNA from 1 species
AGGGUUGUAGCUCAGCGGUAGAGCGCCUGAUUGUUAAUCGGGUCGUCGCAGGUUCGAGCCCUGCCAACCCUGCCA